UGGAAAAGUACCCCAUAUACCGGAUGACAUUUUUGAAUACGUACCCUGCUGACCGAUGCCAGACACUAACGCCUGAGAAACUGAUACUGGCUCUUGGGAUGUAACUUGAUUGGUAAAGAUACUUUCCACUGUACGAUUGGUGUUACUCAAUUGAGACUUGUCUGCGGAGAGAAUAGGCUUAUCUUGCAACUUGUCAGCCCCAGCCAGCAAGGAAGCCUCCACAGACUGACCAUUUGCAGAUCCUCUGCAAGAGUCACCUUUCUCUGUAUG
rnacentral:misc_RNA from 1 species